GUUAGGCCCAACCCAUUUUCUUAAAAUAGUAUCAGAGUCUCUCCAACAGAUGUCAAGCCUCCCAUAAGUGUUUCACACUCCAAGUGUUCGGUCUAAAGCGUGAGUAGGAUGUGUUAAUAUUCCAUAUUGGUAUGGGAUAGAAGUAAUGUGCCCCUUGAGUUAGCUUUUGGGGAGUUAGGCCCAACACAGUUUUUAAGAAACACACAUUUUAAUCAUGAGCUAGGAAACCUACUAGAACUAAUUGAAAUCUCUUAGGGAUUCUAUUAACAUGAAUUCACGAUUCCUAUCAUCUCUCUUUUUUUUAUUCCUGAGGACAGAACAAUCAUCAGAGAACAAAGUGCAAAUUUUGAAAUUGCGUAUGAGCCGCUUUCUUAUUCCUGCUCUGCCCCACCCCAUCAGGCUGCUAUCAACUAAGUUAAUAACAAGAGAUCCUAAUCUUCAAAUUUUUCAUCUGUAUUUAAUCCAAAAAUUAAUUUCUUCGACUAUUUUUAAAUGUGGUCUUGUUCUUCAUUAAUCACGUAAAAGAUGUUGUCUGGUGACUUUUGUGACCAAAGAUGCACAAUGUGUGUGAAAAUUUUCAAACUGUUAAAAUAAUACUAAAG
rnacentral:misc_RNA from 1 species